rnacentral:lncRNA from 1 species
CUGGGAGAUUGCUACUGCUUGUCAGCUGUUGUACAAAAUAGCAUCAAUAUGCAAUAAUGGUGGCCAAAGGAGCCUGCACCCACCAGCUUUUACAGACCAGUAAGUACUUAACCACUAGUUGGUGUAAGAACUACAACUUACAGUCAUGGCGCAGUUUAAUGAUAAAAUGAAGACCAUAAUAAAACAGUCCCCCUCCUUAGCUCA